AGUAAUGCGUGACCAACCUGCCCCAUGCUCCAGAAUAGCUCUUGGAAACGGGUGGUAAUGCUGGAUGCUCCAACUUGACGCAUGUCUUGUUGGGAAAGUGUUUAGUGGCAUGGGAUGGGGUCGCGUCCUAUCAGCUUGUAGGCGGGGUAAUGGCCCACCUAGGCUUCGACGGGUAGCCGGCCUGAGAGGGCGGACGGCCACAUUGGGACUGAGAUGCGGCCCAGACUCCUACGGGAGGCAGCAGUC
rnacentral:rRNA from 1 species